UAUACUAUAGUAAAAUGUUACAUAAGCUAUUGAAUCUUAAAAUGAUGGUUUAAUUCCAUCUAGUAUAU
rnacentral:tRNA from 1 species